rnacentral:rRNA from 1 species
AGCGAACGUUAGCGGCGGGCCUAACACAUGCAAGUCGAACGAGAAAAUACCCUUCGGGGGUGAGUACAGUGGCGCACGGGUGAGGAACGCGUAGGUAAUCUACCGUUUGGCGGGGGACAACACUCCGAAAGGAAUGCUAAUACCGCGUAAGACCACGCUUACUAAGGUGAGAGUGGUAAAAGGUGGCCUCUUCUUGAAAGCUACCACCAAACGAUGAGCCUGCGUCCCAUCAGCUUGUUGGUAAGGUAACGGCUUACCAAGGCGAAGACGGGUAGCUGGUCUGAGAGGAUGAUCAGCCACACUGGCACUGGAACACGGGCCAGACUCCUACGGGAGGCAGCAGUGAGGAAUAUUGGGCAAUGGGCGCAAGCCUGACCCAGCCACGCCGCGUGUGUGAUGAAGGCCUUCGGGUCGUAAAGCACUGUGGGGAGGGACGAAACAGCGCAGUAGGAAAUGACUGCGCCUUGACGGUACCUCCUUAGCAAGCACCGGCUAACUCUGUG